CUAAUCUUGAUAGGCUACACCUGUGUGGGUGUUCAUCCUAUGGCGUGCACAGCACAGCCUUUGAAUUUAACACCACUGAAACAUCAUUUGGUCUUUAACUUCUAGAAUUCCAUAGUAUUACCCAGCUAAAACUGUUACUACAUGCUUGUUUUAUUGUAAUUUUAUUCUGAAAGGCACUAGAAUUCAGUCUUUGUGAUCUCACAACUUGGGAAGGAGAAUGAAAUAGAGUGGCUCCACAACAAUAAUAAUCAAUGUAAUAGAUCCAUGCCUGCAGCUUAGAAAGGAUUUUCCCCAUAGGGCACCAAGUGACGCCUGUAAAAGUGUUGCCAGGACACCUCAAUCUGCAAACAAGGUCACACUGCUGUCGCCCUAUCCACCCGACCCUACCUGGACCUCUCCAUCAUCACCCCAGCCACCCUGUCCCACUCGGGAGCCAUCAUCGUCCCAGUUGGGCUCAGUGUACGACUGAGC